rnacentral:rRNA from 1 species
CAGCCGCCGCGGUAAUACGGAGGGAGCUAGCGUUGUUCGGAAUUACUGGGCGUAAAGCGCACGUAGGCGGCUUUGUAAGUUAGAGGUGAAAGCCUGGAGCUCAACUCCAGAAUUGCCUUUAAGACUGCAUCGCUUGAAUCCGGGAGAGGUGAGUGGAAUUCCGAGUGUAGAGGUGAAAUUCGUAGAUAUUCGGAAGAACACCAGUGGCGAAGGCGACUACCUGGACUGAUACUGACACUGAGGUGCGAAAGCGUGGGGAGCAAAAAGGAUUAGAUACCCCUGUAGUCCCUGUCUCUUAUAA